rnacentral:tRNA from 2 species
AUCCUGGUAGCUCAAUUGGAUAGAGCAACAGCCUUCUAAGCUGUAGGUUGGGGGUUCGAGUCCCCCCCAGGAUGCCA